UACGUAGGGGGCAAGCGUUGUCCGGAUUUAUUGGGCGUAAAGAGCUCGUAGGCGGUCUGUCGCGUCUGCUGUGAAAACUCAGGGCUUAACCCUGAGCUUGCAGUGGGUACGGGCAGACUAGAGUGCGGUAGGGGAGACUGGAAUUCCUGGUGUAGCGGUGAAAUGCGCAGAUAUCAGGAGGAACACCGGUGGCGAAGGCGGGUCUCUGGGCCGUAACUGACGCUGGAGGAGCGGAAAGCAUCGGGGAGCGAACAGG
rnacentral:rRNA from 1 species